GAUGAAGAACGUAGCGAAAUGCGAUAAGUAAUGCGAAUUGCAGAAUUUCCGUGAGUCAUCGAAUCUUUGAACGCACAUUGCGCCCAUUGGCAUUCCGAUGGGCAUGCCUGUUCGAGCGUCAUUUCAACCAUCAAGCCCCAGGCUUGCGUUGGAGCCCUGCGGCUGCCGCAGCCUCCUAAAAGCAGUGGCGGGCUCGCUAUCACACCGAGUGCAGUAGAUUACUCUUCGCUCAGGGCGUGCAGCGGGUUCCGGCCGUGAAACCCCCUACUUUUAAAGGUUGACCUCGGAUCAGGUAGGAAUACCCGCUGAACUUAAGCAUAUCAAUAAGCGGAGGA
rnacentral:misc_RNA from 1 species